GUUCUUUCCCAAGACAAAACCCUAAAAAACCCUGCUCCUCCUCUCCUGCUCACACGCAGCCUCCUCCAAGCCCCGCUCUGCCCGGUCCCCACCCACCCUGUCCCGACCUGACCUGCCGCCGGCUUCCACCCACCUGCCUGGGGUCUCUCUCUCGGUCUCGGUCCCUGUCUCUCCCUGUCUCUCUCUCUGUCUCUGUCUCUGUCUCUCUGUCUCUCACUGUCUCUGUCUCUCUGUCUCUCUCUGUCUCUGUCUCUGUCUCUCUGUCUCUGUCUCAGUCUCUCUGUCUCUGUCUCUGUCUCUCUGUCUCUCUCUGUCUCUGUCUCUGUCUCUCUCUGUCUCUGUCUCUGUCUCUCUGUCUCUCACUGUCUCUGUCUCUCUGUCUCUCUCUGUCUCUGUCUCUCUGUCUCUCACUGUCUCUGUCUCUCUGUCUCUCUCUGUCUCUGUCUCUCUGUCUCUCACUGUCUCUGUCUCUCACUGUCUCUGUCUCUGUCUCUGUCUCUCUGUCUCUCACUGUCUCUGUCUCAGUCUCUCUGUCUCUCUCUGUCUCUGUCUGUCUCUGUCUCUGUCUCUGUCUCCCUGUCUCUCACUGUCUCUGUCUCUCUGUCUCUCUCUGUCUCUGUCUCUCUCUGUCUCUGUCUUUCUCUGUCUCUCUCUGUCUCUGUGUCUCUCUCUGUGUCUGUCUUUCUCUGUCUCUCUCUUGUCUCUCUAUCUCUAUUUCUCUCUCUCUCCUCUCCUUCCCUCCCUUCCUCUUUUCCUCCCUCCCUCCCCAAGUCUCCCCCACCUCUUCCUUCACCCUGACCCUCAGGGACCCCUACCCUGGGACCAUAGGCCCUGGAGCGUACUCGGGCCUUUCCUGCUGGCAGAGAACCCACCCGGGCAGCACCCAGGGCCCUGGUGAGACGCAGGGAAGCCAGCCUGGAAGCCUGUAGUGUACCUUUUCAGAUUCCUGGUGGGAGGCAUAGCUCUCGUCCUAGUUACCCUUUGGCAGGGGAGAAGAUCUGCUUCAGGAGCCCCAGCUAACACUGACCCCCAACAUGACUGUGCCAGACACCAGAGGCAUCCUGGCCACAGGCAAGGCCCCAACGGACCUCCCAAGGCCCAUAAGCAAAGCUAAGGGUUCUAUGAGCAGCUUUCCCUGGAGCCACGCAGAGUCCUCCCCAUCCAGGUUCCAAACGGCUCUCCCACCGCUGGCUUCCUGGACCUCCACCUCAGCUCAGCCUGGGCAGUCCUGCUGCUCCUCUCCCGAAGAGAAGAUGGGGGCCCACAGAGACCGCCGGCGAGAUCCCCUGGUCCUGUGCUGUGUGUGGCUCCCACUCACCACCUUGUGCGCUUCCCUGCCCUUGAGUCCUGGAGACACAAAUACAUGCAGCUAAUCACCUCUUUUUAGUCACUCGUUCACUUGACAAUAGUGCAUCGAUACAUACUUAUGGAGCAUUUGUUUGACGCAUUCGGUCUUCUACCAUGGCAGGACCUGGGGAACGCUGUAAACGUGACUUUGUCCUGGACCUCAAGGACCUUCCGGCCUCCCGAGAGCUUCAGCAGGUGUAUUCACCAGUUUUCCUCACUCUUACAAAACACCCAAUGCAGGCCAUUCAUGCAGAAAGAGGUUUAUGCCACUCAGUUUGGGAGCUUCAAAGCCGUGGUACCUCCAUUGGCUGAUACAGUAUAAAAAGUUGAGUGAAAGUUUGGGUUGCAGUUAAGGGGAAGGGGAAGGAUAGGAGGGAAAAUAAAACAUGUUACUGCAUGCGUGAAUGUGAUGAAACAAACUCAUUAUUCUGUAUCAUUAAAAUGCACUUGUAAAUUUUUUAAUUUGUGGGUGGAGUUUGAGAGUCCAUGCUGCAAAUAUAAAG
ensembl:lncRNA